CCUGAUCCACACCCCCGAACCGAAGGGACAUGCACUUCUCGACUGUCUGUAUCUGGCCAGUGUGGAAAAAGCCGACUGAAGGGUAACAUAUUUUUCGGAUGAAUGCAGGCCCAAGGAGCAAUUCUGAUGUGAGCCUGCUGUACUGCAAGGAGGAAUAGCUCUCAUUGAUCCAUUGCCUGCUUCCCUACUGGGCUGAAGGAACCUCCAGGGGCAACAGGAUAAGGACCAGUGAUUUCCUAUCCUGUGUAGACAUAUAAUGUAAUAGAUGCUGACAUUUUAUUGACCAUCAACACAGAGAAAGAAGACAUAUUGAGCCUCUUCUGAGAAUACAACUCCUUAAAGUCCCAGUGGUCUAAUCUGAGCUGAUAUUGGAUCUAUGAGUCUGUCUUGAGUUGUUUCAGCCUCAAUGUACAUGUGGAUAUGACCAUCCUUAUAUUUAGACAAUUUUUUGGCUGCGAGUGAAGAAGGGGUUAUAUCUGUCAUGAUCUAAUAAUCACUACCUCCAACUUGAAGUCAGGCCUUACCUUAAUUCCUGCAAGGAGCUAGAUUUAUUCCACUGAUUCAUCCAGCAAGAUUGCUGAACCAAAUAUGGUGUCAGAAGAUUUACAGAUAGAAUAGUCCAGUGAUUAUACAAUCCUGUCAGUGAUCUGGUAGAAUUGUGUGAUGAGGCCACAAUGAUGGAAAUAAGGCCUCAAAGUCCUCUCCCUGUACAUCAUCCUCACACAGUUUGGCCUUCUUACCAAGAUGACCCAUAACAUGUGAAACAGAUGGAGACAUUUAUAGCAAAGAUGGAAAAUUUUGUGUUCAGAAGCCUGCCUGUCUGAGGCAACUAGAACCCACUGAAAUAUCAAGUGUCUAUAAUUCUAUGUUGUUGCUGUUAUGGAAGCUGAAAGAACUUUUGCAUGAUAUAAUGGUGAAAGCAUUUCCUGGCUGACAAUGACCUAUAGCAUUUAAUGGGAAUGAAGUCAAUAGGUUCUAUGGAAACUUUACACAUAAUUGUAACAAAAUAAUUAGACAACAAAAAUCAGUAGAAAAUUACACACUUGAUUAAGCCAUCCUAUAGAAUUCCAAAGCAGAAAUAUAACUCUCUAUUUAAAUGCAUAGGGCUUUUUGUUGGAACCAUCCUCUAGGAAGGGUAUCACUUUAUAUUAAUUUCAGCAGGACUUUUCUAUAAAGGCAGGUGGCAGAUAUCAUAAUCUAGAAAUGGAUGUAAGAUCUCAAUGUGAAGAUGUUUCCAUAUAUGGGACUGUCACAUCUGAAGACAUAUCUAUCUAUGAUUGGGUUAGAAGUGGCACCAUUUCAUUUAGCAUUGCAAGCAAUUUUGCUUAAUCAAGUUCUAAAUAUACUGAAGAAGCUUAAUGUUAAUACCUGGAGUUAGGCCCAGGGCUUUAAUGAUUGAUAGUGAAAUAAAACAGGGAAUUACUAGA